rnacentral:misc_RNA from 1 species
GAUGAAGAACGCAGCGAAAUGCGAUAAGUAAUGUGAAUUGCAGAAUUCAGUGAAUCAUCGAAUCUUGAACGCACAUUGCGCCCAUUAGUAUUCUAGUGGGCAUGCCUGUUCGAGCGUCAUUUCAACCCUUAAGCCUAGCUUAGUAUUGGGAAUCGACUUUACUGUCGUUCCUCAAAUUCAACGGCGGAUUUAUAGCAAUCUCUGAACGUAGUAAUUUUUUUCCUCGUUUUUGAAAUACUAUAAACCUCAGCCGCUAAACCCCCAAUUUUUUUAUGGUUGACCUCGGAUCAGGUAGGAAUACCCGCUGAACUUAAGCAUAUCAAUAAGCGGAGGA